GAUGAAGACGCAGCGAAAUGCGAUAAGUAAUGUGAAUUGCAGAAUUCAGUGAAUCAUCGAAUCUUUGAACGCACCUUGCGCCCUUUGGCCAUUCCGAAGGGCAUGCCUGUUUGAGUAUCAUGAACACCUCAACUCUUUAUGGUUUUCCAUGAUGAGCUUGGACUUUGGGGGUUUUGCUGGCCUAUGGUCGGCUCCUCUAAAAUAAAUCAGCUUACCGGUGUUUGGUGGGUAUCAUGGGUGUGAUAACUAUCUACGCUUGUGGUUUUUCCACCAGGUAACCUUCGACAGCGGAGGUUCACUGGAGCUCAUAGAUGUCUCUCCUCAGCGAGGACAGCCCUUUGAAUGUUUGAUCUCAAAUCAGGUAGGACUACCCGCUGAACUUAAGCAUAUCAAUAAGCGGAGGA
rnacentral:misc_RNA from 1 species